rnacentral:rRNA from 1 species
AAUAGAUACCCUGGUAGUCCACGCCGUAAACGAUGAGUGCUAAGUGUUAGGGGGUUUCCGCCCCUUAGUGCUGCAGCUAACGCAUUAAGCACUCCGCCUGGGGAGUACGGUCGCAAGACUGAAACUCAAAGGAAUUGACGGGGGCCCGCACAAGCGGUGGAGCAUGUGGUUUAAUUCGAAGCAACGCGAAGAACCUUACCAGGUCUUGACAUCCCAUUGACCACUAUGGAGACAUAGUUUUCCCUUCGGGGACAACGGUGACAGGUGGUGCAUGGUUGUCGUCAGCUCGUGUCGUGAGAUGUUGGGUUAAGUCCCGCAACGAGCGCAACCCUUGUUCUUAGUUGCCAUCAUUUAGUUGGGCACUCUAAGGAGACUGCCGGUGACAAACCGGGAGGAAGGUGGGGAUGACGUCAAAUCAUCAUGCCCCUUAUGACCUGGGCUACACACGUGCUACAAUGGACGGUACAAACGGUUGCCAACCCGCGAGAGGGAGCUAAUCCGAUAAAACCGUUNUCAGUUCGGAUUGUAGCUGCAACUCG